UACAGAGGGUGCAAGCGUUGCUCGGAAUCAUUGGGCGUAAAGGGUAGGUAGGUGGUCUCAUUUGUCUGGGGUGAAAGCCCAGGGCUUAACCCUGGAAGUGCCCCGGAAACGGUGAGACUGGAGUCUUGGAGAGGGUCGUGGAAUUCCCGGUGUAGCGGUGAAAUGCGUAGAGAUCGGGAGGAACACCUGUGGCGAAAGCGGCUCACUGGACCAUAACUGACGCUGAUGCACGAAAGCUGGGGGAGCAAACAGG
rnacentral:rRNA from 1 species